rnacentral:rRNA from 1 species
GCACCGGCUAACUUCGUGCCAGCAGCCGCGGUAAUACGAAGGGUGCAAGCGUUACUCGGAAUUACUGGGCGUAAAGCGUGCGUAGGUGGUCGUUUAAGUCCGUUGUGAAAGCCCUGGGCUCAACCUGGGAACUGCAGUGGAUACUGGGCGACUAGAGUGUGGUAGAGGGUAGCGGAAUUCCUGGUGUAGCAGUGAAAUGCGUAGAGAUCAGGAGGAACAUCCAUGGCGAAGGCAGCUACCUGGACCAACACUGACACUGAGGCACGAAAGCGUGGGGAGCAAACAGGAUUAGAUACCCUGGUAGUCCACGCCCUAAACGAUGCGAACUGGAUGUUGGGUGCAAUUUGGCACGCAGUAUCGAAGCUAACGCGUUAAGUUCGCCGCCUGGGGAGUACGGUCGCA